rnacentral:rRNA from 1 species
CCUACGGGUGGCUGCAGUGGGGAAUAUUGGACAAUGGGCGAAAGCCUGAUCCAGCCAUGCCGCGUGUGUGAAGAAGGCCUUCGGGUUGUAAAGCACUUUCAGUGGGGAAGAAAGCCUUGGGGCUAAUACCCUCGAGGAAGGACAUCACCCACAGAAGAAGCACCGGCUAACUCCGUGCCAGCAGCCGCGGUAAUACGGAGGGUGCGAGCGUUAAUCGGAAUUACUGGGCGUAAAGCGCGCGUAGGCGGUCUGAUAAGCCGGUUGUGAAAGCCCCGGGCUCAACCUGGGAACGGCAUCCGGAACUGUCAGGCUAGAGUGCAGGAGAGGAAGGUAGAAUUCCCGGGGUAGCGGUGAAAUGCGUAGAGAUCGGGAGGAAUACCAGUGGCGAAGGCGGCCUUCUGGACUGACACUGACGCUGAGGUGCGAAAGCGUGGGUAGCAAACAGGAUUAGAUACCCGGGUAGU